rnacentral:rRNA from 1 species
CAGUCGCCGCGGUAAUACGUAGGGUGCAAGCGUUAAUCGGAAUUACUGGGCGUAAAGCGUGCGCAGGCGGUUAUGUAAGACAGAUGUGAAAUCCCCGGGCUCAACCUGGGAACUGCAUUUGUGACUGUAUAGCUAGAGUACGGCAGAGGGGGAUGGAAUUCCGCGUGUAGCAGUGAAAUGCGUAGAUAUGCGGAGGAACACCGAUGGCGAAGGCAAUCCCCUGGGCCUGUACUGACGCUCAUGCACGAAAGCGUGGGGAGCAAACAGGAUUAGAUACCCGUGUAGUCCCUGUCUCUUAUAC